rnacentral:rRNA from 1 species
GACGAACGCUGGCGGCGUGCUUAACACAUGCAAGUCGAGCGGGAUCCAACCGGUGGCAACACCGGGGAGAUCUAGCGGCGAACGGGUGAGUAACACGUGAGCAACCUGCCCCGAAGACUGGGAGUAACACCGGGAAACCGGUAGCUAAUACCGGAUGUCGUCAUUAGGCCGCAUGACCUGAUGAUGAAAGGAUUCAUCGC